GGUUCAGGAUGAACGCUAGCUACAGGCUUAACACAUGCAAGUCGAGGGGCAGCAUGGUCUUAGCUUGCUAAGGCCGAUGGCGACCGGCGCACGGGUGAGUAACACGUAUCCAACCUGCCGUCUACUCUUGGACAGCCUUCUGAAAGGAAGAUUAAUACAAGAUGGCAUCAUGAGUCCGCAUGUUCACAUGAUUAAAGGUAUUCCGGUAGACGAUGGGGAUGCGUUCCAUUAGAUAGUAGGCGGGGUAACGGCCCACCUAGUCUUCGAUGGAUAGGGGUUCUGAGAGGAAGGUCCCCCACAUUGGAACUGAGACACGGUCCAAACUCCUACGGGAGGCAGCAGUGAGGAAUAUUGGUCAAUGGGCGAGAGCCUGAACCAGCCAAGUAGCGUGAAGGAUGACUGCCCUAUGGGUUGUAAACUUCUUUUAUAAAGGAAUAAAGUCGGGUAUGGAUACCCGUUUGCAUGUACUUUAUGAAUAAGGAUCGGCUAACUCCGUGCCAGCAGCCGCGGUAAUACGGAGGAUCCGAGCGUUAUCCGGAUUUAUUGGGUUUAAAGGGAGCGUAGAUGGAUGUUUAAGUCAGUUGUGAAAGUUUGCGGCUCAACCGUAAAAUUGCAGUUGAUACUGGAUAUCUUGAGUGCAGUUGAGGCAGGCGGAAUUCGUGGUGUAGCGGUGAAAUGCUUAGAUAUCACGAAGAACUCCGAUCGCGAAGGCAGCCUGCUAAGCUGCAACUGACAUUGAGGCUCGAAAGUGUGGGUAUCAAACAGGAUUAGAUACCCUGGUAGUCCACACGGUAAACGAUGAAUACUCGCUGUUUGCGAUAUACCGCAAGCGGCCAAGCGAAAGCGUUAAGUAUUCCACCUGGGGAGUACGCCGGCAACGGUGAAACCCAAAGGAAUUGACGGGGGCCCGCACAAGCGGAGGAACAUGUGGUUUAAUUCGAUGAUACGCGAGGAACCUUACCCGGGCUUAAAUUGCAGAUGAAUUACGGUGAAAGCCGUAAGCCGCAAGGCAUCUGUGAAGGUGCUGCAUGGUUGUCGUCAGCUCGCGCCGUGAGGUGUCGGCUUAAGUGCCAUAACGAGCGCAACCCUUGUUGUCAGUUACUAACAGGUUCCGCUGAGGACUCUGACAAGACUGCCAUCGUAAGAUGUGAGGAAGGUGGGGAUGACGUCAAAUCAGCACGGCCCUUACGUCCGGGGCUACACACGUGUUACAAUGGGGGGUACAGAGGGCCGCUACCACGCGAGUGGAUGCCAAUCCCCAAAACCUCUCUCAGUUCGGACUGGAGUCUGCAACCCGACUCCACGAAGCUGGAUUCGCUAGUAAUCGCGCAUCAGCCACGGCGCGGUGAAUACGUUCCCGGGCCUUGUACACACCGCCCGUCAAGCCAUGGGAGCCGGGGGUACCUGAAGUGCGUAACCGCGAGGAGCGCCCUAGGGUA
rnacentral:rRNA from 1 species